AUAUCUUCGGCAAUACAUAUACUAAAAUUGAACGAUACAGAGAAGAUUAGCGUGGCCCCUGCGCAAGGAUGACACGCAAAUUCGUGAAGCGUUCCAUAUUUUU
rnacentral:snRNA from 1 species